UACGUAGGGUGCGAGCGUUGUCCGGAAUUACUGGCGAAGAAGCUCGUAGGUGGCUUGUCGCGUUGUUCGUGAAAACUCACAACUCAAUUGUGGGCGUGCGGGCGAUACGGGCAGACUUGAGUACUGCAGGGGAGACUGGAAUUCCUGGUGUAGCGGUGGAAUGCGCAGAUAUCAGGAGGAACACCGGUGGCGAAGGCGGGUCUCUGGGCAGUGAACUGACGCUGAGGAGCGAAAGCGUGGGGAGCGAACAGGAUUAGAACCGUACCGACGAGAC
rnacentral:rRNA from 1 species